UAGGGAAUCUUCGGCAAUGGGGGCAACCCUGACCGAGCAACGCCGCGUGAGUGAAGAAGGUUUUCGGAUCGUAAAGCUCUGUUGUAAGUCAAGAACGGGUGUGAGAGUGGAAAGUUCACACUGUGACGGUAGCUUACCAGAAAGGGACGGCUAACUACGUGCCAGCAGCCGCGGUAAUACGUAGGUCCCGAGCGUUGUCCGGAUUUAUUGGGCGUAAAGCGAGCGCAGGCGGUUUGAUAAGUCUGAAGUUAAAGGCUGUGGCUCAACCAUAGUUCGCUUUGGAAACUGUCAAACUUGAGUGCAGAAGGGGAGAGUGGAAUUCCAUGUGUAGCGGUGAAAUGCGUAGAUAUAUGGAGGAACACCGGUGGCGAAAGCGGCUCUCUGGUCUGUAACUGACGCUGAGGCUCGAAAGCGUGGGGAGCGAACAGGAUUAGAUACCCUGGUAGUCCACGCCGUAAACGAUGAGUGCUAGGCGUUGGAUCCUUUCCGGGAUUCAGUGCCGCAGCUAACGCAUUAAGCACUCCGCCUGGGGGAGUACGACCGCAAGGUUGAA
rnacentral:rRNA from 1 species